CGAGACGCCGCAUUAUGCGGCGUCUCAUCUGGGUCUACGCUGUUUGCAAUGUCCUUUUUUCAGGACGCUAGGCAUGAAUGGGUUAAUAACUAAGCCAAUUCUACUUCCGAGGUGGCGCUAAGGACCGGAUGUUUGAAAUUUCACGGAUAAUUCUACAGGAGAUGGAGCUUAUGCCGAAGAGGUGGUACCAAGGGCAGGAGAUGGCGCCAAUGCACGACAUAUCACCACACAUGAUGCGUACAGUGAACAAUUCACAAUUAGCUUGCAAACCAAGAAGUUUAUCUAUGGGAGAAAUCGAAGACAAUAACAUGAAGAGAACGAAAUUAGUACUACUACCGUUAGUGGGUGUUCUGUAUGUGUUCGUAGUUUGGUCUCUUAGAUUGUUUGAAACCGUCCCUCAGCGGUCGCUAAAAGAGGUACAAUCUCCGAUGAUUCACGUGAACCAAGAUUGCCAGUUUGUUUACCUUGAUUUGGGUAGCAACAAGGGUGUGCAGAUACGGAAGUUGUACGAGCCAUCGCUUUACCCAGGUGCGGCUAUCAUACCGUUCUUUGACAAGCUGUUUGGACAUAUAACGAAGUCCAGCCGUCGUGGGAAUGUGUGUUCAUUCGGAUUUUGAGGCUAAUCCACGACACAUGGGUCGUUUAAAGCACAUUGAACAAUCAUAUCGACGUAAAGGACUCAAUGUCACUUUUUACAAUAAUGCUGUUUCCAACAGAACGGGAGACAUUGUAACAAUAUACUCGGACACGAACUUCGACAUAUACUGGGGCGCUGGCAUUCUGGAUACGGCCAUUGAUAACAAAAUUAAUAUGACAUAAUAUAAAGUCCUAACACUCGAUUUUGUGCACUUCAUUCGUUCUCAGAUUGUGCCCCUUAAACCAAAGGCAGUUUUCAUGAAAAUUGACAUCGAGGGAUCAGAAUUCAUCGUCUUACCACACUUGUUACAGACAUUAACUCUUUGUAAAGAUAUCAUUACAUCCUUUGUGAUAGAAAUGCACGAGUGGGCUAAGAAAUCCAUGGGGUCGACUCUAACAUUUGACGAAUUAAGAACGAUGAUACAGAAGCAAGGUUGUGUCCCUUCAGAAAUUGUUAAUGUCGAUGACGAAAGUUUCUUGCAUGACGUCAUCGUGGAACCUAAUUGGUAACGAUCAUAAAAAGAUGUCUGCGUGUUUACAUACUUUACUUAAUAAUAAGACUUUAACAACCA